UUGGGAAAAAGCACCAAUGCUUUCAAUCUCCAAUGAAUAUAUCAUUCAAGAUUAUUUUUUCUCACUCUUGUUUAUUUGUCUGGACUAUUUGUGGAGCUGUGGACUCUUCAUUAAACUGGGCAAACAAGAACCCCCGGACCCUCUCCCUCCCUGCAGGUGGAUCCGUCCUACCAGAAGAAGAAGCCUCGGUCCCCUUGCCUCCCUUUUGCCCCUCAGACCCUCCACACAGCAGGAUUAAGAGAUCCAUACAUAAGAAGUGGGUCAAAUCAACACAGUGAACAGGAAGUCCUGCACACUCUCUCUUCCUGUAGGAAGAAUGAACGCAGACCCCUAGUCCCCCAUCGAGCCUUGGCAGAGCUUCCACAGAGAGCAGAGAAAAAAACAGCCCAGUAUAGAAAGGUGCUGAAGGAGUGAGGAUGAUGAUGAUGCUAGUGUCAGGAUGAGGAAGGGCCAUGUAAAAGCCAUGAAGGCUGAGUCUGGGGAAAUGCUGGGGGGGUUGCCAGAGUUUCUGCAUUUACAGAUGGUGUAAUGGGCUGUUAGCAUGAGGGCUGGUUCUAAUGGCUUGGCUUGGGCUGCAGAGGUGUGGAGAGCGUAGGACGUCAUUGUUUUAACAAGGAUUCUGGGGGGAGGCGAUAUCAUGGGGUUUGUAAAAGUUGUGCUGAUGGUGCAGAUGUUCCUGCUGUGGAUUUAACUGUUGCAUUUGUUUUUUAUGUGUGGAGGAGUGAGAGAAUUAGAGAAAUGGACACAGAGAAACAAAGAAAACUGCUGAUCAAGGCUCUCACAGGUUAAGAGAGGGAUUGCGAAAUUUAAUGCCAAGCAAAUUAUUAAGAACUCUAUGCUAAGAACUACUGUAUAUAUUCUCUACCUCAGUAACUGCUGUAAUCAUGGACACAGUUCUGUACCUUAUCUUCACCACACACUUUUAGAUUGUAUUGUGUUGGUACUGCACUGUCCUCUCUGUUAAACUGUCUCAGCUCUGCUUAUUUAUUGCAAUUUUGUCACGUUUUAGGUCUUUGUUGCACAAUUUGUUGUUCACAUUUGACUUGGAUAUAUAUGGGCUUACAUGGGAUAGCAGUACUGUAUGUCAAUUGGUUAAUUAAUUAACUGUUACCUCAAGCAACAGGUUGGGAAAUUCCAUACCUGUAUAAGUUGUGAGGUAUUAUCUUGUGAGUGGGUUUAAUCACUAGCCAAUGUGUACAUAGAAAGAGGAUUUAACUCAAAGGAGUUGAAGUGGCGUCUGAGUUGAAGUGGGUGCCUGGUGGAUGGGGCUUUCUGUUUCCCAAGUUAUGCAGGCUUUUAACAUUCCUUGAGCCAUAGUGUACCACCUGUGAUCACCACUAUUAAAGAGUUUAUCCUGCUUUUUCAUGUAGUUUGCCAUCAGCUACCGGAGCCCUGAGAGAGCACAAUUGGGUUUGCUCUCUC